GUGGGAGGGAACCCGGAGAGCCAGCUUGAGAGAGGUGGGAGGAUGGAGAAGCUGGGAAGUGCAGAUUUCUUGCCCAGGAGUGUUCCUGCCGGACAAGGAAGUUGUGUACCUUGGAGUCUACCUUCUGAAUCAGUACCUGGAGACAGACUGCUUUCCCUCUGUGUUCCCUAUUGUGAUUCAACAGAGCAUGAGGUUUGAAAAGGUCUUUGAAGAGGCAAUGGAUCCUGGAGCUGUUGCAGAACUUUUAGAAAGCUUCCUAACCAGGUUUGAAUUAGUACAGCUAGUGUCUCCAGCAUGGGAAGAGUUGGCCUACUAUGAAAAAAACACCCGAGACUUCCUAUUCCCUGAGCCCAAGCUGACAUCCUCACACCUUGGCAUGCAGAGGGAGGUGCUCAUGAAGACGGCUAUUUGGUUUCCCGGCAUUGCUCCCAAACUAGAGUUUUCUACAAGGACAGCCAUCCUAGAGUGUGUGUUCCCGUGUAAAAACAGAUUUCUUUGGGAAGAAAGGUGUAAAUUGCAACAGUCUUUCUCAAAACUGAACGGACCGGCAAACAACAGGAAAAAGAAGCCAAAGGAGAAAAAUUCUGACCAGCUCUCCAAAGGCACACCAUUUUGGGGACCCUCCCCACAACGACUCCAUCUCCACCGGCCCACACAGAGGAACCCUGGAAAGAGCUUCCGGUUUCUGGGAGAAAGGAAGCCUCCAUUUGUG
rnacentral:lncRNA from 1 species